GAACCUCAAGGAGUCCAGAAGUAAUAACAGAUUAAUAGCACUUAGAAGGGAGCUCAGAGGAAAGAAUCAGCAUCUGUUACACCUUCUUGACUCACCUUCUGGCACAGCAAGAUGAAGUAAAACCAAGGAGUGUGGGCUGGAUAGUGCAAAGUACUGUCACUUAAGGAACCCCAGGUGCAAAAGCUGGGCUUCCCCCAGCCUCAUGCUGUCAUCCGCCCACCUCCCACAUUAGCCAAUUGACCUCUACUGUCAAGAUUUUCCUCCUAAGCCAGUGGUGAAAUCAGGGGUAUUUGCAGAUUCCUCCUGGACACUGUCCCAUUUGAAAGGACGAUGAAAGGAUUAAGGAGAAACCAACUUGAAAGGAUACCAAUAGGUUUCUGUGGAACUGCCUCUGGAAAGCACAGGGCUGUGUUUCUUCAGAAAACCCAUGGCCAUUCCCACCCUUUGUCCUUCCCUUAUUGCUACCAAUUUUCCUCCCCCACCCUCCACUCCGAACCUCCCACCCUCCACCCCUCCACCCCCUCCUUUGCUCAGAUCCACUACUUCAGAGGGCUGGUUCCAAUUGCAAGGCUAUUCCUGCACCAGUCUCUGGCAACCAGAGUGAAAGGUGCCGACAAAGAGGCCCUCUCCACAGCUCCCUU